rnacentral:rRNA from 1 species
GAUGAACGCUAGCGGCAGGCCUAACACAUGCAAGUCGAGGGGCAGCACGGGUAGCAAUAUCUGGUGGCGACCGGCGCACGGGUGAGUAACGCGUAUGCAACCUACCUUUAACUGGGGCAUAGCCCGAAGAAAUUCGGAUUAAUACCCCAUAAUAUUCUCAGGAGACAUCUCUUGGGUCUUAAAGCUCCGGCGGUUAAAGAUGGGCAUGCGUGACAUUAGCUAGUUGGUGAGGUAACGGCUCACCAAGGCUACGAUGUCUAUGGGGUCUUAAAGGAUGAUCCCACACACUGGUACUGAGACACGGACCAGACUCCUACGGGUGGCAG